UACAGAGGGGGCAAGCGUUGUUCGGAAUUACUGGGCGUAAAGGGCGCGUAGGCGGCCCGCUAAGUCGAACGUGAAAUCCCCGAGCUCAACUCGGGAACUGCGUCCGAUACUGGUGGGCUUGAAUCCGGGAGAGGGAUGCGGAAUUCCAGGUGUAGCGGUGAAAUGCGCAGAUAUCAGGAGGAACACCGGUGGCGAAGGCGGUUCUCUGGGCAUUACCUGACGCUGAGGAGCGAAAGUGUGGGGAGCGAACAGG
rnacentral:rRNA from 1 species